rnacentral:rRNA from 1 species
GACGGUACCUUCAGAAGAAGCCCCGGCUAACUACGUGCCAGCAGCCGCGGUAAUACGUAGGGGGCAAGCGUUGUCCGGAAUUAUUGGGCGUAAAGAGCGUGUAGGCGGCUUGGUAAGUCUGGUGUGAAACCUUGGGGCUCAACCUCGGAAUUGCCUUUGAUACUGUCUGUCUUGAGUUCGGGAGAGGUUGGCGGAAUUCCUAGUGUAGAGGUGAAAUUCGUAGAUAUUAGGAAGAACACCAGUGGCGAAGGCGGCCAACUGGCCCGAUACUGACGCUCAUGUGCGAAAGCGUGGGGAGCAAACAGGAUUAGAUACCCUGGUAGUCCACGCCGUAAACUAUGGAUGCUAGCCGUUGGGGAGCUUGCUCUUCAGUGGCGCAGCUAACGUCUUAAGCAUCCCGCCUGGGGAGUACGGUCGCAAGAUUAAA